AGUUGAGCGAUUUACUUCGGUAAGAGCGGCGGACGGGUGAGUAACGCGUGGGUAACCUACCCUGUACACACGGAUAACAUACCGAAAGGUAUGCUAAUACGGGAUAAUAUAUUUGAGAGGCAUCUCUUGAAUAUCAAAGGUGAGCCAGUACAGGAUGGACCCGCGUCUGAUUAGCUAGUUGGUAAGGUAACGGCUUACCAAGGCGACGAUCAGUAGCCGACCUGAGAGGGUGAUCGGCCACAUUGGAACUGAGACACGGUCCAAACUCCUACGGGAGGCAGCAGUGGGGAAUAUUGCACAAUGGGCGAAAGCCUGAUGCAGCAACGCCGCGUGAGUGAUGAAGGCCUUCGGGUCGUAAAACUCUGUCCUCAAGGAAGAUAAUGACGGUACUUGAGGAGGAAGCCCCGGCUAACUACGUGCCAGCAGCCGCGGUAAUACGUAGGGGGCUAGCGUUAUCCGGAUUUACUGGGCGUAAAGGGUGCGUAGGCGGUCUUUCAAGUCAGGAGUGAAAGGCUACGGCUCAACCGUAGUAAGCUCUUGAAACUGGGAGACUUGAGUGCAGGAGAGGAGAGUGGAAUUCCUAGUGUAGCGGUGAAAUGCGUAGAUAUUAGGAGGAACACCAGUUGCGAAGGCGGCUCUCUGGACUGUAACU
rnacentral:rRNA from 1 species